AUUGAACGCUGGCGGCAGGCUUAACACAUGCAAGUCGAGCGAGAGGCGGACGGGUGAGUAAUGUCUGGGAAACGGCCUGAUGGAGGGGGAUAACUACUGGAAACGGUAGCUAAUACGGAACAACACCAGAUGUGCCCAGAUGGGAUUAGCUAGUAGGUGGGGUAAUGGCUCACCUAGGCGACGAUCCCUAGCUGGUCUGAGAGGAUGACCAGCCACGCUGGAACUGAUACACGGUCCAUACUCCUACGAGAGGCAGCAGUGGGGAAUAUUGCACAAUGGGCGCAAGCCUGAUGCAGCCAUGCCGCGUGUGUGAAGAAGGCCUUCGGGUUGUAAAGCACUUUCAGCGAGGAGGCGUUACUCGCAGAAGAAGCACCGGCUAACUCCGUGCCAGCCGCCGCGGUAAUUC
rnacentral:rRNA from 1 species